rfam:Schistosoma curassoni strain Dakar, Senegal genome assembly, scaffold: SCTD_contig0002757
AUCCAGCUGACGAGUCCCAAGUAGGACGAAACGCGCGUUCUGGUU